rnacentral:rRNA from 1 species
CCCUUAGAUGUCCUGGGCCGCACGCGCGCUACACUGAUGCAUGCAACGAGUUUAUAACCUUGGCCUGAAAGGUCUGGGUAAUCUUUUGAACGUGCAUCGUGAUAGGGAUAGAUUAUUGCAAUUGUUAAUCUUGAACGAGGAAUUCCUAGUAAACGCGAGUCAUCAGCUCCCAUUGAUUACGUCCCUGCCCUUUGUACACACCGCCCGUCGCACCUACCGAUUGAAUGGUUCGGUGAAGAUCUCGGACUUCGAUAUUUAUUCUUUAUUGAGUUUAUAUUGUGGGAAGUUAUCUAAACCUCAUCAUUUAGAGGAAGGUGAAGUCGUAACA